rnacentral:misc_RNA from 1 species
UCCGGUUUGUCACCGGCAGUCCCAUUAGAGUGCCCAACUAAAUGAUGGCAAUUAACGACAAGGGUUGCGCUCGUUGCGGGACUUAACCCAACAUCUCACGACACGAGCUGACGACAGCCAUGCAGCACCUGUGUUACGGUUCUCUUUCGAGCACUCUCCCAUCUCUGGGAGAUUCCGUACAAGUCAAGGGUAGGUAAGGUUUUUCGCGUUGCAUCGAAUUAAUCCACAUGCUCCACCGCUUGUGCGGGCCCCCGUCAAUUCCUUUGAGUUUCAGACUUGCGACCGUACUCCCCAGGCGGGAUACUUAAUGCGUUAGCUUCGCCACAGGGGGAUUUAACACCCCCCACAGCAAGUAUCCAUCGUUUACAGCUAGGACUAC